rnacentral:rRNA from 1 species
UUACUGGUGUAAAGACGCCAAUAGGUGGAUUGCUAGGCUUGAGAAGAGAUGAAGGACGUGGCAAGCUGCGAUAAGCUCGGGGUAGGCGCACGCAUCCUAUGAUCCCGAGAUGUCCGAAUGAGAAUCUUACACAUUUGUGUAUUCCAGUACAUUAGUAUUGGAAGUCGAACCGUGGGAAUUGAAGCAUCUUAGUACCACGAGGAAAAGAAAUCAAUUGAGAUUUCCCAAGUAGUGGCGAACGAAAAGGAAAUAGCCCAAACUGAAUCCUUCGGGAGAUGUGGUGUUUUGGUAUAGUGAUAUGGAAUCCGGACGCAUAGCUGAAAUGAUCUGAAAAGUUCUGGAAUAGAGGGUGAUACCCCCGUAAGCGAAGUGUGAAUGGUCCUAACUAUACCCGAGUAGUUGUCCUUGGUAGUGGGCAAUGAAUACGGGAGAAAGUAGCUUCCGAGGCUAAAUAUUUCUCAAGACCGAUAGUGGACUAGUACCGUGAGGGAAAGCUGAAAAGUACCCCGGAAGGGGGGCGAAAAGUGCAUGAAACCUAUUGGUUACAGACGUGCGUGGCAUGGAAGGUGAUUUUUUCAGAUUAGAGAUUCUAGCAAUAGAGUUGAAGAUUUGAUGUUCAAAUCAUCAGUGUCACGCGUUCCGUCUCGAAACACGGGCCAAGGAGCUAACUGUCAUGGCAAGCUUAAACUGAAAAAGUGAAAGCGAAGGGAAACCGAGCUCUCGCAGCUUCGCAAGAAGUCAGGAGAGGCGUGUGAAAGUGCGUAGAGUCAUGGCGGCUAGGCUAGAAGCCAGUCGAUCUAUUCCUGAGCUAGAUGAAGGAGAGCGAAAGCUCUCUGGAGGUCUUAAGACGUUCUGACGUGCAAAUCGUUGUUGUGACUUGGGAAUAGGGGUCAAAAACCAAUCUAGACUGGCGCUCGCUAGUUCCAACCGAAGCGUCUCGCAGGGCGUGGUUUGUGGAGAUAGCGUUUCCGGUAGAGCACUGAUAGAAGGGCGCGGGGGAGAAAUCCCUCACCCUCCAUUCAAACUCCGAACGGAUACGCAUUGAAGAAGCAGGCACACGGGCUCAUGUGGCGUAAGGCUCAUGGCCGAAAGGGGUUUAACCCAGACUGAAGUUAAGGUCCCCAAA